UCCUUAAUUAUUUUUAAUUCCAAUUUCUUUAUAGAAAAUCCCUAAAAAUAUUUUCUGUUUGAUUUUAUUUUAAAACCUUUUUUAAAAUCAUUUUUAGCACUUAUUUCCUAUUUUCCCUUAUUUUUCUUUAUUAUUUUCUUUUUACAUUUAAUUUUCAAAAUUUUCAAAAUCUUUUGAGAUCCAACUUUUAGGAUCAAUU
rnacentral:lncRNA from 1 species